rnacentral:rRNA from 1 species
UAGGGAAUCUUCGGCAAUGGACGAAAGUCUGACCGAGCAACGCCGCGUGAGUGAAGAAGGUUUUUGGAUCGUAAAACUCUGUUUUUAGAGAAGAACAAGGACGUUAGUAACUGAACGUCCCCUGACGGUAUCUAACCAGAAAGCCACGGCUAACUACGUGCCAGCAGCCGCGGUAAUACGUAGGUGGCAAGCGUUGUCCGGAUUUAUUGGGCGUAAAGCGAGCGCAGGCGGUUUCUUAAGUCUGAUGUGAAAGCCCCCGGCUCAACCGGGGAGGGUCAUUGGAAACUGGGGGAAUUAAGUGCAGAAGAGGAGAGUGGAAUUCCAUGUGUAGGGGUGAAAUGCGUAGAUAUAUGGAGGAACACCAGUGGCGAAGGCGGCUCUCUGGUCUGUAACUGACGCUGAGGCUCGAAAGCGUGGGGAGCAAACAGG